CAUGUUCUAUAAUGCUGAUCGAACAACAUCAUUCGUUGUGCUCAUCAAUCUUUUACGGCCUUUGGACCCAUCAAGGUAGCCAUCUCCAACAGCAAAUGAGUCCCUAGCUGUUAGAAAUCAAAAGUUCUCCGUUGGUUGUGAAAUGUCUUAUCAAACUUACCAAGGUUCUCCAAAGCACCAUUUAUGAGGUUGACCUACACCGAAUUCUUCAAAGCAUUCACAUAUACCUACAAGAUCUUGGUAUGGAAGAAAUCAGGAAGAGAGCUGGAGCUGAUGACAAACCAUUACGAAUGG